rnacentral:misc_RNA from 1 species
UCUCCGCUGGUGAACCAGCGGAGGGAUCAUUACAGGACUCGCAAGACUCCUACAACCCUGUGAACUUAACUAUAAGCACGUUGCUUCGGCGGGUGUCUCGGAGGGGGUUCUCCCUCCCCGAGACGCUAAACCCGCCGGCAGCCUACUAUACUCUGUCUCUUUGCGUUGGCAUCUCGAGUACAAUCAAACAAGUUAAAACUUUCAACAACGGAUCUCUUGGUUCUG